AAUGCAAUUGUUGGGUCGUAUGGUUAAUUGUAUUUUUAAUUUUUUGAGGAACCUCCAUGCUGUUUUCCAGAGUGGCUGCACCAGUUUGCAUUCCCACCAGCAAU
rnacentral:pre_miRNA from 1 species